GGGUUUCACCAGAAGUAGGUAGCCUAACCGCAAGGAGGGCGCUGACCACGGUGGGAUUCAUGACUGGGGUGAAGUCGUAACAAGGUAGCCGUAGGUGAACCUGCAGAAGGAUCA
rnacentral:rRNA from 1 species